rnacentral:rRNA from 1 species
CCUACGGGGGGCAGCAGUGAGGAAUUUUCUGCAAUGGGCGAAAGCCUGACAGAGCAAUACCGCGUGAGGGAUGAAAGCCUAUGGGUUGUAAACCUCUUUUCUCAAGGAGGAAGAUAUGACGUUACUUGAGGAAUAAGCAUCGGCUAACCCUGUGCCAGCAGCCGCGGUAAUACAGGGGAUGCAAGUGUUAUCCGGAUUUAUUGGGCGUAAAGCGUCUGCAGGUUGAUAUUUAAGUCUUUUGUUAAACCUUCGGGCUUAACCUGAAUUCUGCAAAAGAAAC